rnacentral:rRNA from 1 species
GCAGUCGAGCGAUGGAUUGAGAGCUUGCUCUCAAGAAGUUAGCGGCGGACGGGUGAGUAACACGUGGGUAACCUGCCCAUAAGACUGGGAUAACUCCGGGAAACCGGGGCUAAUACCGGAUAACAUUUUGAACUGCAUGGUUCGAAAUUGAAAGGCGGCUUCGGCUGUCACUUAUGGAUGGACCCGCGUCGCAUUAGCUAGUUGGUGAGGUAACGGCUCACCAAGGCAACGAUGCGUAGCCGACCUGAGAGGGUGAUCGGCCACACUGGGACUGAGACACGGCCCAGACUCCUACGGGAGGCAGCAGUAGGGAAUCUUCCGCAAUGGACGAAAGUCUGACGGAGCAACGCCGCGUGAGUGAUGAAGGCUUUCGGGUCGUAAAACUCUGUUGUUAGGGAAGAACAAGUGCUAGUUGAAUAAGCUGGCACCUUGACGGUACCUAACCAGAAAGCCACGGCUAACUACGUGCCAGCAGCCGCGGUAAUACGUAGGUGGCAAGCGUUAUCCGGAAUUAUUGGGCGUAAAGCGCGCGCAGGUGGUUUCUUAAGUCUGAUGUGAAAGCCCACGGCUCAACCGUGGAGGGUCAUUGGAAACUGGGAGACUUGAGUGCAGAAGAGGAAAGUGGAAUUCCAUGUGUAGCGGUGAAAUGCGUAGAGAUAUGGAGGAACACCAGUGGCGAAGGCGACUUUCUGGUCUGUAACUGACACUGAGGCGCGAAAGCGUGGGGAGC